UGUGGCUGGGGGUGAAAGGCCAAUCAAACCGGGAGAUAGCUGGUUCUCCCCGAAAGCUAUUUAGGUAGCGCCUCGUGAACUCAUCUUCGGGGGUAGAGCACUGUUUCGGCUAGGGGGUCAUCCCGACUUACCAACCCGAUGCAAACUGCGAAUACCGAAGAAUGUUAUCACGGGAGACACACGGCGGGUGCUAACGUCCGUCGUGAAGAGGGAAACAACCCAGACCGCCAGCUAAGGUCCCAAAGUCACAGUUAAGUGGGAAACGAUGUGGGAAGGCUCAGACAGCCAGGAUGUUGGCUUAGAAGCAGCCAUCAUUUAAAGAAAGCGUAAUAGCUCACUGGUCGAGUCGGCCUGCGCGGAAGAUGUAACGGGGCUAAACUGUGCACCGAAGCUGCGGCAGCGACGCUUAUGCGUUGUUGGGUAGGGGAGCGUUCUGUAAGCCUGCGAAGGUGUCCUGUGAGGGAUGCUGGAGGUAUCAGAAGUGCGAAUGCUGACAUAAGUAACGAUAAUGCGGGUGAAAAGCCCGCUCGCCGGAAGACCAAGGGUUCCUGUCCAACGUUAAUCGGGGCAGGGUGAGUCGACCCCUAAGGCGAGGCCGAAAGGCGUAGUCGAUGGGAAACGGGUUAAUAUUCCCGUACUUGGUGUUACUGCGAAGGGGGGACGGAGAAGGCUAUGUUGGCCGGGCGACGGUUGUCCCGGUUUAAGCGUGUAGGCUGGUUUUCCAGGCAAAUCCGGAAAAUCAAG
rnacentral:rRNA from 2 species